GGAGUUAGCCGGUGCUUCUUCUGUGAGUGAUGUCCUUCCUGCCGGCUAUUAACCCGCAGGCCUUCUUCCUCACUGAAAGUGCUUUACAACCCGAAGGCCUUCUUCACACACGCGGCAUGGCUGGAUCAGGGUUGCCCCCAUUGUCCAAUAUUCCCCACUGCUGCCUCCCGUAGGAGUCUGGGCCGUGUCUCAGUCCCAGUGUGGCUGAUCAUCCUCUCAGACCAGCUACGGAUCGUCGCCUUGGUGAGCCGUUACCUCACCAACCAGCUAAUCCGACAUAGGCUCAUCCGAUAGCGCGAGGCCCGAAGGUCCCCCGCUUUCCCCCGUAGGGCGUAUGCGGUAUUAGCCUGGGUUUCCCCAGGUUAUCCCCCACUACCGGGCAGAUUCCUAUGCAUUACUCACCCGUCCGCCGCUCGCCACCAGGGAGCAAGCUCCCCGUGCUGCCGCUCGACUUGCAUGUGUUAGGCUCGCCGCCACGCGUUCAUCUGAGCCAGAAUACGAACCUACGUACGUACGAGACGGGCGGUCGGCGACGGACGGCGACUAG
rnacentral:rRNA from 1 species